rnacentral:lncRNA from 1 species
CGCUUUCAUAUCAAAACACUUUAUUACGUCUUGACUUGUGCGUGCCGAAAAUGUAAUAAAUUAAUUGUUGAAAAUGUUCUAAAUUAAUGUAAAUAAAGUGUACAGUCUAUAGUGUACAGGUGUACAGUGUACAUAAUUAUAAUUAUUAACUAUUAAUUUCAAGUAUGGCGACCUGUCGCAUGAUUUUCGAUCCGAAAACAAAAUCAUUUAUUUUAGCAAGUCCACUGACCUCACCACCUAGCAUUUUAAAGAAAAGCAGCCUCAAGCCUGUUACCGUCGUAGAAACAAAACCAGCAAAACCUGUGAGUCCCCCAAAUAUAUCUGCUCCAAAUAUAUCUGCAACCUCUCGCCCCCCACUGAACCCCGUCACGCCUAUCCGUACACCGAAGAAGAAGACGAAGACUGCAGACGAGUGGCCAGAGGAGCACCUCAUUGAGCUGAUUGAAAUCUAUAAGCUGCAUCCGUGCCUAUACGACACGAAGGACCCAAACUACACUAAUAAGCCUUACCGAUUGCAAGUCCUUCAAAACAUCCGGCUCCACAUGGCAUUGUUUCGCCCGAAUGUAACUGAGGAAAGUAUCAAGCAGAAAUGGAAUUCCCUGCGCACCCACUUCCUGUCUGAAGUGAAAAAAAUUGAAGCCUCCAAACGAAGCGGCACUGACACGGACAGUUUAUAUCAUCCAACAAUGACAUAUUUUGAUGAUUUGCUGUUCCUACAAGACCAUGUUAAACCACGGCCGACUAUUUCAAAUGCUCCAGAUGAUACUGAAGAAGAUCCUGAUGAUCCUGGGUAUCUUGAUAAUACUGAGAACGAGAAACCAUCCAUUCAGAGUAUCAAUAUUCCGAAGAUCAAGAUUCCUGGCCCCCCCGUUAAGAAGCGUAAGCAGUCUGUAGUAGAACAAGAAGAACUGAAACUUUUACAGACAAUGGGAACGACUCUGUCAACCAUUGCACAGACGAAUGCUACAAAGCCUCAGACUGUGACUCAGCCAACAGCUCCACCUGCUAAUGAGGAUCGUUUUGAUCAUUUUGGAAAGUUUAUUGCAUCAACUUUACGAACCAUGCCUGCAGAUGAGGUAAAUAAUAUUCAAUUGAAAAUUACAGAUGCUAUUUUUAAUCGAGCCUUCUAAGCCAUUACUUAGCAUGGAAGCUAUUAUUUCAAAUACGCCAUCACUUAUCAUAAUUUUUACAUUAUUCUUUCGCAGGCUAUAUGUAAUUUUCUUCACCUGCAUCACAUAUCAUAAUUUUCAUAUUAUUCUUUUGCUGAUUAUUAAAAUUCAUUUUUUUACUCGUUUUUAACUAAGUACGAACAAUUUUGUUUUCUUUCCUUUCGUACAUACUGUGCUCUUUUUGUCUGCGCUUUUUCAACGUCAUUAAAUUUCAUUGUGAGCAAAAAUGUAUUACAAAUUAUUUAAUUUUUGAUACUUACCGGUUGUAAGUAACUAAU